CACCGGCGGCCCGAGUGGUGAUCGUGAUUAUUGGGUCUAAAGGGUCCGUAGCCGGUUUGGUCAGUCCUCCGGGAAAUCUGAUAGCUCAACUAUUAGGCUUUCGGGGGAUACUGCCAGACUUGGAACCGGGAGAGGUAAGAGGUACUACAGGGGUAGGAGUGAAAUCUUGUAAUCCCUGUGGGACCACCUGUGGCGAAGGCGUCUUACCAGAACGGGUUCGACGGUGAGGGACGAAAGCUGGGGGCACGAACCGGAUUAGAUACCCGGGUAGUCCCAGCCGUAAACGAUGCUCGCUAGGUGUCAGGCAUGGCGCGACCGUGUCUGGUGCCGCAGGGAAGCCGUGAAGCGAGCCACCUGGGAAGUACGGCCGCAAGGCUGAAACUUAAAGGAAUUGGCGGGGAGCACAACAACGGGUGGAGCCUGCGGUUU
rnacentral:rRNA from 1 species